rnacentral:rRNA from 1 species
UUGGUGGGGUGAUGGCCUACCAAGGCAGUGACGGGUAGCCGGCCUGAGAGGGCGACCGGCCACACUGGGACUGAGACACGGCCCAGACUCCUACGGGAGGCAGCAGUGGGGAAUAUUGCGCAAUGGGCGGAAGCCUGACGCAGCGACGCCGCGUGAGGGAUGACGGUCUUCGGAUUGUAAACCUCUUUCACCCACGACGAAGCGAAAGUGACGGUAGUGGGAGAAGAAGCACCGGCCAACUACGUGCCAGCAGCCGCGGUAAUACGUAGGGUGCAAGCGUUGUCCGGAAUUAUUGGGCGUAAAGAGCUCGUAGGCGGCUUGUCACGUCGACUGUGAAAACCCGGGGCUCAACUCCGGGCCUGCAGUCGAUACGGGCUGGCUUGAGUGCGAUAGGGGAGACUGGAAUUCCUGGUGUAGCGGUGAAAUGCGCAGAUAUCAGGAGGAACACCGGUGGCGAAGGCGGGUCUCUGGGCCGUAACUGACGCUGAGGAGCGAAAGCGUGGGGAGCGAACAGGAUUAGAUACCCUGGUAGUCCACGCCGUAAACGUUGGGCGCUAGGUGUGGGGACCUAUCCACGGUCUCCGUGCCGCAGCUAACGCAUUAAGCGCCCCGCCUGGGGAGUACGG